rnacentral:lncRNA from 1 species
GUGAGGAUCGAGUAGUAGAAAAUCAAAGAAAAACUAGGCUAAAAAAAUAGGAGAUUUGGGAUUUUCUUUAUUUUUGGCUGUCACCGUUCAUUGGUGGCCGUAGACUUGCCAUGGAGGGUUGUGGGAAGGCUAGGAUACUCAGCCUAGGGCUCAACUUCAAGGGAUGGUGACACCGAUGGUCAGAAAAAGGGAGAUAAGUACUG